rnacentral:rRNA from 1 species
AUUGAACGCUGGCGGCAGGCCUAACACAUGCAAGUCGAGCGGAUGAAGGGAGCUUGCUCCUGGAUUCAGCGGCGGACGGGUGAGUAAUGCCUAGGAAUCUGCCUGGCAGUGGGGGAUAACGUCCGGAAACGGGCGCUAAUACCGCAUACGUCCUGAGGGAGAAAGUGGGGGAUCUUCGGACCUCACGCUAUCAGAUGAGCCCAGGUCGGAUUAGCUAGUUGGUGGGGUAAAGGCCUACCAAGGCGACGAUCCGUAACUGGUCUGAGAGGAUGAUCAGUCACACUGGAACUGAGACACGGUCCAGACUCCUACGGGAGGCAGCAGUGGGGAAUAUUGGACAAUGGGCGAAAGCCUGAUCCAGCCAUGCCGCGUGUGUGAAGAAGGUCUUCGGAUUGUAAAGCACUUUAAGUUGGGAGGAAGGGCAGUAAGUUAAUACCUUGCUGUUUUGACGUUACCAACAGAAUAAGCACCGGCUAACUUCGUG